rnacentral:rRNA from 1 species
GCCAGACUCCUACGGGAGGCAGCAGUGAGGAAUAUUGGUCAAUGGGCUUACGCCUGAACCAGCCAAGUCGCGUGAGGGAAGACUGCCCUAUGGGUUGUAAACCUCUUUUGUCAGGGAGCAACGCCGGCUACGUGUAGCCGGACUGAGAGUACCUGAAGAAAAAGCAUCGGCUAACUCCGUGCCAGCAGCCGCGGUAAUACGGAGGAUGCGAGCGUUAUCCGGAUUUAUUGGGUUUAAAGGGUGCGUAGGCGGAAUGCCAAGUCAGCGGUAAAAUCGCGGGGCUCAACCUCGCUCCGCCGUUGAAACUGGCGUUCUUGAGUGGGCGAGAAGUAUGCGGAAUGCGUGGUGUAGCGGUGAAAUGCAUAGAUAUCACACAGAACACCGAUUGCGAAGGCAUCUCACGAAUCCGCGAUUGACGCUGAUGCACGAAAGCGUGGGUAUCAAACAGGAUUAGAUACCCCAGUA